rnacentral:sRNA from 1 species
CUGGAGAAAUAGACUUUUAAGCUGAGAUUUGAAGCGUGAGUAAGAUUCAGCCAGACACAGGGCAAAGAGAAGUAGGUUCCAGGAAACAAAAAUGUCAGAGGUGUACCCAGUGAAGACAACAGCAGGUGUGAAAGCCAAGAAACUGCAGAGCUCAGUUCAUUCAAGAAACAAAAGGGUUCAAUAUGGAUGGACCGCAGAUCUGUGGAUGGAGGCAGGGCAUGGGCAGGCCAUCCUAUGGCUCUAUUUUGAGACGGGUACCUGGGUGUAUCCUGUAUUUGCCAAACUCAGCCCCGUGGGUCUAGCAGCUUUCUUCUCUCUCAGCUACGUCUUCAUCGCCAGCAUCUACCUACUUGGAGAGAAGCUCAACCACUGGAAAUGGGGUGACAUGAGGCAGCGGAAGAAGAGGAAGUGAUUGCACACCAUUUUCCAAGAACCAAGAAGGAAGAAAACACAAGAGAUUUUUCUCAUCUUUUUUUUUUUUUUUUUUUUCUGGUGGAGGGAGGUGGUGGAGCAACAUAGAAAGUAGGAGGGACAGAGAGUGAUACUUAAAUUUAAUAAGAGGUUCGUGAAGGUAGCUUAACUUGAGAACUCUUGGUUUUUUGAAAGGUUGACUGCACAGGCCAAAAACAACUCCUGCCAUCUCAGAAUUAAUUACCUUUGACCUUCGUGGAGGAUGGUCUCUGGUUAAAAUCUGGCCAAAGAAACUCACAUAAACUUGGUGUUAGAGAACAUCUAGAGAGAGAGAGGAACUUAGAGUCAUUUAAACUCUUCAGUUUACAGAGAAGGAUGCUGAGGACCUAGAUGAGAAGUUACCCCUGCACAAGGCAAAAGGGUUACUUAGUGUCAGAACCAAGGCAAUGACUUCUCUCUCUCAGAUCUCCUAGCUACCGGUCCUGGGCCAUUUUUUUUUUUAAAUAAUCCCAACUUUUCUUUAAAAAAC